rnacentral:rRNA from 1 species
AGAGUUUGAUCCUGGCUCAGGACGAACGCUGGCGGCGUGCCUAAUACAUGCAAGUCGAACGCUUCUUUCCUCCCGGGUGCUUGCACUCAAUUGGAAAGAGGAGUGGCGGACGGGUGAGUAACACGUGGGCAACCUGCCCAACAGAGGGGGAUAACACUUGGAAACAGGUGCUAAUACCGCAUAGGUCAUCAUUCCACAUGGAAAGAUGACAAAAGACGCUACGGUGUCGCUGUUGGAUGGGCCCGCGCUGCAUUAGUUAGUUGGUGAGGUAACGGCUCACCAAGACCAUGAUGCAUAGCCGACCUGAGAGGGUGAUCGGCCACACUGGGACUGAGACACGGCCCAGACUCCUACGGGAGGCAGCAGUAGGGAAUCUUCGGCAAUGGACGAAAGUCUGACCGAGCAACGCCGCGUGAGUGAAGAAGGUUUUCGGAUCGUAAAACUCUGUUGUUAGAGAAGAACAAGGACGUUAGUAACUGAACGUCCCCUGACGGUAUCUAACCAGAAAGCCACGGCUAACUACGUGCCAGCAGCCGCGGUAAUUC